CGGAGGCAAGGCUCAUGUAAGCUUCCAGGAUCUCGUCCCGCUGCGAAGGCUCCUCGUCGACAGCAUCGUCGAGAAUGGUGAUGAGCCAGGUGUACUUGGCGGCCGCUAGAGCGUGCCUGGAGUCGCCCCAAGGCACAACAAAGGUGCCGUAGAGUGGCGUCCUGCACUGGGUAAAGUAUUUCUUAUCGGCAGCGGCAUUGGUGGCAUUGAUCUUGAGGAAGCGAAAGGCCCAAUCGUUCGCCUGUUUGGAGACGGAGACGUAGUUUGGGUGGCACUGCAAUGGCAGCGAGCAGCGAAUUUGAGGCAAGUAGAUGCUCUUGCAGGCGAGGAGCUGCUCCAGAAUUUGGAGACGAUAGAUAGAAGGCGCGGCCAUUAUCAUUCACUCUGGAGAAGAAAGAGCUAAGGGCCCUGCUUUAUUGAGGCCUUGUGACAUUUGAUCUCCCUAUUGAGGGGUGAACAGCGAGAUAAACGUGACGAAGAGCUGUUGUAUAGCUGUUAGAGACCUGUAGGUCGUUAGUACGACUCCAUGAACCUCAUUAAAUAACCACAUCUUCUCAUGGAAGAGGAGCUAGCGCACAGGACACGGUCGUUCAAGCCGUCACCGAUCCAGAAGCUCUCGCAUCUCGCUCAGCAGCGCAAUGCGAUCAACUUAGCGGAAGGUAAAACUGAUAUUCUCGGGUGUUUGUGUUCUAGCGGAGAGGUUUCCCAGGGUUUCCAGAUUUCCCAGCUCCGCCAGAGGUGAAGGAGGCCGCAAGGGAUGCCAUUGGAGCAGACUUCAAUCAGUACAGGUGGUUUGGGAGCUCGUUUUGCAUGGUUUCUUACAUUUCUUUUUCACAAGGCAUGUACAAGGUGUUUGCAACAAAGUGGCCGAGCAUUUUGAGCAUUUCCAGGGUGUGAAGGUUGACUCCAAGUCCGACAUUGUGCUUUGCUGCGGUCAAUCGGAAGCUCUCGCUGCCGUGACUUUCGCUAGUGAGUUCGAACAGAUCUUCAUUUUCACUCUUGGUCCUCUUCUUUUAGUUGUUGAUCGUGACGACGAAGUGAUUCUUUUGGAACCGGUCUAUGAGACGUACGAAUCUUGCAUCAUAAUGGCUGGAGGCAAGCCAGUUGAGCCAACUGGCUGAUGAAUCUUCAUCGCUAAUAUACUUUCCUUCUCUGUUGCCAUACAGGUUUUCGUGCCUUUAACGCCUCUGCUGUGGACGUUGGAUUCAGAGAAGCUCAAAAGGAGCAUCACCUCUAGAACCAAGGCGAUUGUGAUUAACAGGUAUCUUGAGUAGCUUUCCUUGUGUCCUGGACUCGGUCAGCCCUCAAUCUGACAAUCUGACUGGAGCGAUAUAUGGCAUUGUAGCCGUACACUUGGCUCUCACACUUUUAUUUUAUUUUAAUAUAGUCUAAUUUCAUUUUAUUAUGACAAUAAUCUAGGGUUAGGGCCACCCCUGUUUAGGGUUUGGUGUAAUUAUGAUUACACUUUUGCCUUUUAUUCUCCUGCUAUCUUCAUCAUGUAGGUGUUCUAGCAUUUUCAUUGCUUUUCUUUUGUUUUAGGCACAUGGGUUAAAAAUGAUGAAAAGAGGGGAAACCUAAAGGAGGGAUCCUCCAAAUGUGGGUAAUGCUCUAUUGUUGUUAUGCCUUAGCACAUGAGCAAGUUUAGAGAAUGAUUAUAAAAAACCCUCUCACCCAUAUACAGUCUACAUCCCAUUCCCAUCCUUCUUCUAAUUGGAGGUUUUCUUUCACACUUGUCCAACAUGAUUAAUGUGAGCAACAGUAGCAACAACAAUAAUAACAAUAUACACAAUUUCAAAUCUCUUGAUUGAAUACCAACACACGCAUUGGCUUGCAUACUCCUAGACCAUCUUCUUUUUUAAGGCCACAUAACAUCACCAAGCACACACCAACAUGGUCAACUCCAACUCUCAAAAGGAUGUAUGUGAGUGGUUAACUUUUUGUGUUUCCUAUUUGCAAUGCUCACUUUUUAAUGGUUUUUUUUAGUCACAAUUUGAUACAUUUGCCACACUAGUGUCUAGACAACACUUGACAAGUAGAUUUUCUAGCCCCUAGCACUACACUCUCUUGAUGGGCUCCUUAACAUCUUUUGAAGGUCUAAUGAUGGAUUGCUAUUGAGAGGUGGUAGCUUAUGCAUUGCCAACUGAGCCAUCAGUAAGAUUUAUUUCUUUGAAGUUUUUCAUAGCUAAAAUGUCUCCAUUCAGACUCUAGGUGGCUAACAUUAAGAACCUUGCGUGAAGAUUAUAAAGAUCAUGGAUAUCAAGUUUAAGCUAUCAGAGUGUUUAGAAUAGAGUAGUGUGUACUAGAUAAAUGCUUUUAUUCAAGAGAUGACACAAUAUGAUAUUUGUGAUAUGCUCCAAUGUCCUUCACACAACUUACUGGCCAAUUUAUUUACACCACUUGAUGCUUUUGUGAAGUAGUUUUGCAAGAUAUAAGGAAUAUCAAUGCAUGUUGAGACUCAAGUUUGGAGAGAGCUCUUUGAAACUUUGCUUUUGGAAUACUAUGAUUACAUAGGCUAUAAUUUGCAAAAGUGAAAUAGAAAACUAUCUUUAGUUAUCUAUUUAUACAAUACAUAGUAAGAGAGGUUUAUGGAAUUAGUUUGGCCAAAAAAGGCUAAUGUGACCAAGGAAAGCUACACUUAAUAUAACCCAUGUGAAUAUAAAUAGACGAGUGGGGUAAUUUAGUGACGUGUUCAAAAAUUAAUUGCUCCCCCCAAAAGAUGAAAUGAUUGAUGCUUGCAAUACUUACUUGGAUACCUUAUGUAGCUCAUUAGAACCUAGUUUUAGUUACAUGGCUAGAGCACUCUAGUGGUGGAAGGUGGGGGGAGUACCCAUGAAACUCAUGUUAUGCCACAAUGAAACUCAUGUUAUGUCACAAUGUUUCAAAAUGUCAUUCUAAAAUCCUAGAUUAUAGAAUGGAAAAGGAGUAAUUUUUUUGCUUAGUGAUUAAAAAUAUGAUUACAUAGUGAAGAAGUUCUAAAAGUUAAUGGAAUUUAAUGGAUGGGUCUUUAAACCCUAGACCAGUGGUGGUGUUAAUAAGCAUUGCCAUAAAUGAAAAUAAACUUGGUGGGGAUCGAAAAAUGAAUAUUAGAGAAUGGUGUUCUUUAUGUCUUGAGACAUCUUAAAGAUGCUAAGAUAUAGUCAUUGGAUGACUACUCAUAAAUAGAUGGCCUAGUUUGGAAAAAUGAGAUUGUGGUACAAAUGGUCUUGGAAAUAUUAAAAAUGUAUAUAACCUUCAUGUAGGAUUUUACAUGUGAAACACUUAGACCAAGUGUGAGGUCAAUAUAAUCGUGAGAACACAUAUAAAGCUAGCAAAUGCCCUAAAUUGAGGUUAAAUGGUCAAAAACAUAAUUAAAUGACUGAACUAGAAUGCAAAAUUUAUUCAUUUAUAAAUAAUAAAUAAUUUUGUGUGGCAAUAUUCAAAAAACUUACAAUUAACUAGAUUGAGGCCUUUUCACUUUCAUGAAAAAAUCAAGGUUUUCAUGUUUGCAAGGUUAAUGCAGAACAAUGUAAGCUCAAUUUCCUUACUGAGUUGGUUUCAAGUAGAGUUUAUCAUGGACCUGCUGGAGUUGCAGUCUGUGUUCUUUGGUUAUGAGAAUCAGGUAGCUUUUUGUGAACUUUGGUAGUAGCCGAAACUCUUUUGCUUGCUCUGCAUCUUAACAGGAAACUUUAUGUUUUAUUUUUCAUGGCCUUUUCAUUCAAACUUGCAGAUGGGGAUGAGUUGGUUUGUACUCGGGGAGUAUGAUAGUCUGUGUAUCAUGAAACAACCAAGUCCCACUGAAUGGCUCUCCUGUUACAAAUGGAUUAUCAACACCGUGGUACCGAGCUGCGAGGUAGUGCCAACGUAGAUUUCCAGGGAUGAAAGCCGGAAUCGCUCUAAGGUACGCCAGAAAGUCGUGGUUGCCAGAUUCCAUCGCUUUCCUCGUCAGGAUCUCGUGGUAAUACAUGAAUUCUUGUUCUUUUUCCUGAAUCAUGGCGUUCGCCUUAUCAACUGCCUGUUGAACAGAGCGAACGGUGUGGUCCGUGAAGAGCAAGAGAAAAAUUAUGUUCUUGAAAGUUUUCUUCCUCAGCUCCUUUGGGAAUGAAAAGAUGUCGUUCACCAGCCACAUAUGAUCAAACAUGGCAUCUAUUGCCCGGAGGUACUCCUCGCUUUCCAGAUCCUUGUCUCUCAGCUCGACUCCCAGGCACAUCUGCGUGAAGUUAAGCAUCGGCUUGACAACGUAGUCCUCCCGGCGAUGCACAGCGUAAGACUCUUUCGUGAACUCCUCUUCGUCGACUUUGGCCGAGUAGCAGCCAACAAAUUUCCUGUACGAGACGAGCAGCCGCUGGAAGAGGAGCGGCGACAUGAGCUUCCGCAGAUCCGGGACGAGCUCGGCUUGGGCGACGAGCACGGGUUUGUUGGGAACUUGGGCGAUGGAUCUUUGACCGGAGGCAAGGCUCAUGUAAGCUUCCAGGAUCUCGUCCCGCUGCGAAGGCUCCUCGUCGACAGCAUCGUCGAGAAUGGUGAUGAGCCAGGUGUACUUGGCGGCCGCUAGAGCGUGCCUGGAGUUGCCCCAAGGCACAACAAAGGUGCCGUAGAGUGGCAUCCUCCACUGGGUGAAGUAUUUCUUAUCGGCAGCGGCAUUGG
rnacentral:lncRNA from 1 species